rnacentral:rRNA from 1 species
AGCUCCAAUAGCGUAUAUUAAAGUUGUUGCAGUUAAAACGCUCGUAGUCGGAUUUCGGGGCGGGCCGACCGGUCUGCCGAUGGGUAUGCACUGGCCGGCGCGUCCUUCCACCCGGAGACCGCGCCUACUCUUAACUGAGCGGGCGCGGGAGACGGGUCUUUUACUUUGAAAAAAUCAGAGUGUUUCAAGCAGGCAGUCGCUCUUGCAUGGAUUAGCAUGGGAUAAUGAAAUAGGACUCUGGUGCUAUUUUGUUGGUUUCGAACACCGGAGUAAUGAUUAACAGGGACAGUCAGGGGCACUCGUAUUCCGCCGAGAGAGGUGAAAUUCUCAGACCAGCGGAAGACGAACCACUGCGAAAGCAUUUGCCAGGGAUGUUUUCACUGAUCAAGAACGAAAGUAG